rnacentral:misc_RNA from 1 species
GAGAGAGAGAGAGAGAGAGAGAGAGAGGCGUUUUCAUUUAGAAACUCGAAAACUUUAAUUAGAGAAGGUGUACAAAGAUCUAAUAAUUAUUUAGGUUUUCAGAUUUGGAGAGAUCAAACUCUCCCGAUUUAAAUCUUCAAUGGCGCUUCGAAGAGCAAAGCUUCUGUUUCUAUUAUGCGCUCUUUCCUUCGCCCUAACAGCCAUUGCAGGGAAGAGCUAUUACGAUGUAUUGCAAGUGCCGAG